UUUCCGUAGGUGAACCUGCGGAAGGAUCAUUAUUGUAUAACCGAGGUGCGAGGGCUGUCGCUGACCCGAAAGGUCGUGCACGCCCGAGUGCCCUCACACACAUCCAUCUCACCCCUAUGUGCACCACCGCGUGAGUCCCCCUUUGGCUUGUUCGGAGGGGGGCUUACGUUUUCACACAAACUUUGUAUGCAGUGUAGUAUGUAUUUUUUGUUUUUGCGAUCACGCAAUCAAUACAACUUUCAACAACGGAUCUCUUGGCUCUC
rnacentral:misc_RNA from 1 species